rnacentral:rRNA from 1 species
GAUGAACGCUGGCGGCGUGCCUAAUACAUGCAAGUCGAGCGAACAGACGAGGAGCUUGCUCCUCUGACGUUAGCGGCGGACGGGUGAGUAACACGUGGAUAACCUACCUAUAAGACUGGGAUAACUUCGGGAAACCGGAGCUAAUACCGGAUAAUAUAUUGAACCGCAUGGUUCAAUAGUGAAAGACGGUUUUGCUGUCACUUAUAGAUGGAUCCGCGCCGCAGUAGCUAGUUGGUAAGGUAACGGCUUACCAAGGCAACGAUGCGUAGCCGACCUGAGAGGGUGAUCGGCCACCCUGGAACUGAGACACGGUCCAGACUCCUACGGGAGGCAGCAGUAGGGAAUCUUCCGCAAUGGGCGAAAGCCUGACGGAGCAACGCCGCGUGAAUGAUGAAGGUCUUCGGAUCGUAAAACUCUGUUAUUAGGGAAGAACAAAUGUGUAAGUAACUAUGCACGUCUUGACGGUACCUAAUCAGAAAGCCACGGCUAACUACGUG